ACCAAACAAAGUUUUAAUUUUUUUUUAGAACAGUUCAGUCAUUGGUGAUAUACAAUCCCACAGAUCUUUAGUUGUGGGAUGGGACUAUUGUUAGAGCUUCAAAAUGUUGUUCAAGUGUAUUUCUUUGUGUUGGCUUUCUAGUUUGUGCAAGGCUUCCAAGAAACUUAGGAUUGAUUCUCAGAUGUUUUCUUGUGCAGAUGAAAGUUGCUUUUGGAGGUGUGGAUUCUGUGAGUCAGCCACCACGUCAACCUGACAGUAGCAAUGAGCAGACAGGAACCUCAAAUGCCCUUGCAUUCCCAGGUAUUUUGUUCAUAUCACCUGUAUUGCUUAUGUUGAUGAAAGAUGAACAAAACUAGUUUAUUCUCUUAUUUGAAUUUUUAUUAAAAAUUGCUCGAUGAGUUCUGCAAGUUCUAAGAGUACCCAAAAAGGUGUGACAGAAUUAAUGCUCUUGUUGUUGGUCCAACUUUACAUCCAAAGGGCUUGUAAGUAUUAACCUUUUGUCGUUUGUUUCGUUGAUCUGGAUGCUAGUUGAUGCUUCUACUUAAUGGCAAAGAUGCUGAUUAAAAAUAUUUUGUAUCUUCAUGUUCUUACGUAACUCUUGUUUCAGCUGUGUGCUAAGAGACAUAAGAUGUUGGAAGACAUGGAAAAAGACUUUGAAGGUGGACAAGAGGCAGAUAAGUUUGAUGGAGGAGGAGGUAGCAAAGCAGUGGAUCAUUAGACAUUAGGUUUAGAGUGAAAAAGGUCCAAGCUCCUCGGUGUGAUUGGAAGACGGCGACGUUGGAGUACUCGUUGUGACGGCGUCGGUCGUGGUGUGGUGCGGCGCUUGAAGAUAGAACUUUAGGCAUAGAAUUUUAGGUGUAGGCUUAAUAUUUUUGAAAAAAAUUGGUUUAGUUUGGUUUUGUUUGAUAUACCGGUCAUAAAUAUGUAACCAAUUUCGAUAUA